UACGUAGGGUGCAAGCGUUGUCCGGAAUUAUUGGGCGUAAAGAGCUCGUAGGCGGCCUGUCGCGUCGGAUGUGAAAAUCCAAGGCUCAACCUUGGACCUGCAUUCGAUACGGGCAGGCUAGAGUUCGGUAGGGGAGACUGGAAUUCCUGGUGUAGCGGUGGAAUGCGCAGAUAUCAGGAGGAACACCGAUGGCGAAGGCAGGUCUCUGGGCCGCAACUGACGCUGAGGAGCGAAAGCAUGGGGAGCGAACAGG
rnacentral:rRNA from 1 species